rnacentral:rRNA from 1 species
AAAGAAAUCGUUAAGGGCGUAUGGCGGAUGCCUAGGCUUUCAGAGGCGAAGAAGGACGUGGUAAGCUGCGAAAAGCUGCGGGGAUCGGCACACACGAAUUGAUCCGCAGAUGUCCGAAUGGGGCAACCCGGCUGGUUGAAGACCAGUCACUCUAUUUAUUUAGAGAGCAAACCCGGAGAACUGAAACAUCUAAGUACCCGGAGGAAAAGAAAUCGAAGAGAUUCCGUAAGUAGCGGCGAGCGAAAGCGGAUUAGCCCAAAAGUCUUUAUAUGUUUAAUAGAAUGUUCUGGAAAGAACAGCCAUAGACGGUGAUAGCCCGGUAUAUGAAAGGCAUACAUAGAUGAUAAAUGAGUAGGGCGGGACACGUGAAAUCCUGUCUGAAUAUGGGGGGACCAUCCUCCAAGGCUAAAUACUCCUGAAAGACCGAUAGUGAACUAGUACUGUGAAGGAAAGGUGAAAAGCACUUCGAAUAGAAGGGUGAAAUAGAACCUGAAACCGUACGCCUACAAGCGGUCGGAGCCCACAAGUUGGGUGACGGCGUGCCUUUUGCAUAAU